AUCCCGCGCUGCAUUAGCUAGUUGGUAAGGUUACCGCUACCAGGCAACGAUGCAUAGCCGACCUGAGAGGGUGAUCGGCCACACUGGAACUGAGACACGGUCCAGACUCCUACGGGAGGCAGCAGUAGGGAAUCUUCCGCAAUGGGCGAAAGCCUGACGGAGCAACGCCGCGUGAGUGAUGAAGGUCUUCGGAUCGUAAAACUCUGUUAUUAGGGAAGAACAUAUGUGUAAGUAACUGUGCACAUCUUGACGGUACCUAAUCAGAAAGCCACGGCUAACUACGUGCCAGCAGCCGCGGUAAUACGUAGGUGGCAAGCGUUAUCCGGAAUUAUUGGGCGUAAAGCGCGCGUAGGCGGUUUUUUAAGUCUGACGUGAAAGCCCACGGCUCAACCGUGGAGGGUCAUUGGAAACUGGAAAACUUGAGUGCGGAAGAGGAAAGUGGAAUUCCAUGUGUAGCGGUGAAAUGCGCAGAGAUAUGGAGGAACACCAGUGGCGAAGGCGACUUUCUGGUCUGUAACUGACGCUGAUGUGCGAAAGCGUGGGGAUCAAACAGGAUUAGAUACCCUGGUAGUCCACGCCGUAAAUGUUGAGUGCUAAGUGUUAGGGGGUUUCCGCCCCUUAGUGCUGCAGCUAACGCAUUAAGCACUCCGCCUGGGGAGUACGACCGCA
rnacentral:rRNA from 1 species